rnacentral:rRNA from 1 species
AUGGCACACUAUAAUACACUACAUACUAACGGAACCUGCUACUCCGGUGGUGCAUUGCCAAAGAAGAAUAGCCAGGUAGCUCAGCAUUAUUCUCAUGCGCAUCUCUCGCGACGAACACGGCCCAGUGAUGCAUCUCUAGCGACGAACGGCACAGCUCAACGAAACAAGGAAACAACAGCUAGCAAACUCCAGCGACCAGGUAGCAAGGCCGACCAACAGGGACAAACUCCAGUGACCAGGUACCAAAGCCGACCAACAGCGGCAAAGGCACAGACCAACAUUUUUAGGCAGGCUGCAGAGAAGCAGGGGUCCUCCAAUGGCUAUGGUAUACUGGCACGGAUUGGAAUCAGCCAACAUGACCUCAGUCAUUAUUAG